rnacentral:rRNA from 1 species
AUAACGACUCUCGACAACGGAUAUCUCGGCUCUCGCAUCGAUGAAGAACGUAGCGAAAUGCGAUACUUGGUGUGAAUUGCAGAAUCCCGCGAACCAUCGAGUCUUUGAACGCAAGUUGCGCCCGAAGCCAUCGGGUUGAGGGCACGUCUGCCUGGGCGUCACG